CCUACGGGGGGCAGCAGUGGGGAAUAUUGCACAAUGGGGGAAACCCUGAUGCAGCGACGCCGCGUGAGUGAAGAAGCGACUCGGCACGUAAAGCCCUGUCAGCAGGGAAGAAAAUGACGGUACCUGAAGAAGAAGCCCCGGCUAACUACGUGCCAGCAGCCGCGGUAAUACGUAGGGGGCAAGCGUUAUCCGGAUUUACUGGGUGUAAAGGGGGCGUAGACGGCGAUGCAAGCCAGGAGUGAAAGGCGGGGGCCCAACCCCCGGACUGCUCUUGGAACUGCGUGGCUGGAGUGCAGGAGGGGCAGGCGGAAUUCCUGGUGUAGCGGUGAAAUGCGUAGAUAUCAGGAGGAACACCGGUGGCGAAGGCGGCCUACUGGACUGUAACUGACGUUGAGGCCCGAAAGCGUGGGGAGCAAACAGGAUUAGAUACCCCAGUAGUC
rnacentral:rRNA from 1 species